GUCGACGGGUAAAGUGUGGUUGGGCAGAGAAAGUGAGGGGAUGGCCGGCAGAAACAAUGAGUGGGUCGGCGGGGAUGAAAGGGGAACUCUUGAUUGAUGAAUAGAAUUAAGAGUAGACGGGCAAAAAAUAGGCAUGGGUCAAUUUUCUUAAAAAUAGCGUAAAAAUACGCUAGCGCCAACUAUCCCCCGGCCGUGGACGGGCUCAACGUUACUAGUAAAUAAAUAAAGUGAGAGGGUUUGCGGGCAAAAAUAGGGAGUGUUUUAAUAUGAAAAAAGAAUUAAAAUUAGACGGCAAAAUAACGAAUAAAUUAGGCUCAAAUUAACGAUUGACCGACUAAAAUUAAGAAAAAGAAGCGUUAAAAUGCGCUAUCCCCAGGUCUUGCACGGGCAAAAGUUACUAGUGCGUUGCUAAACGUAAAAAAAAAUAUUAAUAUAAUUAUAAAAACAUAGAAUCGAACCCGUGAAAUCAGCAUGGUAGCCGUAUACUAAGCCAUAGCGCCAUACUACACUAUUCCAUUGCUUCAUAAGCUACCUAUUUCAAUGGGUGACACCCAAAGCAAAAUUUGUUUGGGAUGUGCGGUCCUGGCACAGUGGUUACCACCUUCGCUUCGCAUUCUGAGGGCCCCGGGUUCAAGUCCCGCCACCGCCAAUUUCCCUCCCUCCCUUUCCCUCCAAUUCAUCAUUCAAGAUACGCAAGAUUCUACUCAUUCAAGAAAGAAAAGAAGAAGAAAGAAAAGAAGAAGAAAGAAAAAAAUAAGAAAGAAUAAAAGAAGUGAGAAAAAAAGAAGAAAGAAAAAAAGAAGAGAGAAAAUAAGAAGAGAGAAAAAAGAAGAGCCAUGCCUACUAUAAAGGGGCUAAAUGGCGCACCAAAAAAAGCCUUGCCAGGCUAAAAAUGGCAAAAAAAAGCCUUGCCAGGCUAAAAAUGGCAAAAAAAGCCUUGCCAGGCUAAAAAUCGAUCUGUAGUACUGUUCACUACACGUUAAGGAUCGACCCACAAACUGAAGGGUGGAGAAGAGGGGAACAUUGAACGUAGGCUGUUCGUUAGCCUCCCCACGGCCUGAAAGACGGCUCGUGGAUGCAGACGCUUAUGAUCGGGAUAUGUGACCCAAUUCGAUACCUGAAAAUUAGCCGAAGAAGCCGAAGAAAAUCUACCAGGCUGCUACUCUUCAAACAUGGAGUCUUGCUGUCGCCUCUAAGAACCCCAUAGUACUACUUUUUCCAGAAACGUCUUCAGCGAGCUCGAUUUGUUCAUAGUUCUGUUUUUGGAAUCAACGGCGAUAUGGAACAACAAAUAUACACAACAGUAUGUGGACAACAAGAAAGCUUCUGUUUGAAGAAAAAACUACAUCAGUAACCAGUUGCAGGUUCUCAUUCAUGAUUUACAUAGAAAACCGAUAAGAGUUUUUGGACUACCGUACUGCUUUUCGCAUGUUUGACGUUUAUCCGUCGAUAUCCAUGUUGCCAUGGCUAAAACAACAAAAAGGUUGGAAUCUAGAUACUACGUGCUUUCACUUUACGCUAUGUACUUCGAGGACUUUGCGUUUAGCUGUGAAAACCUUAUUCUUCUAUAAGCAAG